rnacentral:rRNA from 1 species
AGCAGCCGCGGUAAUUCCAGCUCCAAUAGUGUAUAUAAGUGUGCAGUUAAAGCUCGUAGUGAAUUUCGGUCAGCAGUUGUCGUGCACUGUAUGCACUGGUUUCGCUGAUCUCUUUCUGGAACUGUAAUGCAUUAAUUGAUGUGCAGGAACAGGACUGUUACUUUGAAAAAAUUAGAGGUUAAAGCAGGCUAACGCUUGAAUACAUUAGCAUGGAAUAAUAAUAGG